rnacentral:rRNA from 1 species
GACGAACGCUGGCGGCGUGCUUAACACAUGCAAGUCGAACGGAAAGGCCCUGCUUUUGUGGGGUGCUCGAGUGGCGAACGGGUGAGUAACACGUGAGUAACCUGCCCUUGACUUUGGGAUAACUUCAGGAAACUGGGGCUAAUACCGGAUAGGAGCUCCUGCUGCAUGGAGGGGGUUGGAAAGUUUCGGCGGUUGGGGAUGGACUGGCGGCUUAUCAGCUUGUUGGUGGGGUAGUGGCUUACCAAGGGUUUGGCGGGUAGCCGGCCUGGGUGGGUGACCGGCCCCAUUGGUCCUGAGAUACGGCCCAGACUCCAACGGGAGGCAGCAGUGGGGAAUAUUGCACAAUGGGCGGAAGCCUGAUGCAGCAACGCCGCGUGCGUGAUGACGGCCUUCGGGUUGUAAACCGCUUUCGCCUGUGACGAAGCGUGAGUGACGGUAAUGGGUAAAGAAGCACCGGCUAACUACGUG